rnacentral:rRNA from 1 species
GACGAACGCUGGCGGCGUGCUUAACACAUGCAAGUCGAACGGAAAGGCCCUGCUUUUGUGGGGUGCUCGAGUGGCGAACGGGUGAGUAACACGUGAGUAACCUGCCCUUGACUUUGGGAUAACUUCAGGAAACUGGGGCUAAUACCGGAUAGGAGCUCCUGCUGCAUGGUGGGGGUUGGAAAGUUUCGGCGGUUGGGGAUGGACUCGCGGCUUAUCAGCUUGUUGGUGGGGUAGUGGCUUACCAAGGCUUUGACGGGUAGCCGGCCUGAGAGGGUGACCGGCCACAUUGGGACUGAGAUACGGCCCAGACUCCUACGGGAGGCAGCAGUGGGGAAUAUUGCACGAUGGGCGGAAGCCUGAUGCAGCAACGCCGCGUGCGGGAUGACGGCCUUCGGGUUUUAAACCGCUUUCGCCUGUGACGAAGCGUGAGUGACGGUAAUGGGUAAAGAAGCACCGGCUAACUACGUG